rnacentral:rRNA from 1 species
GACGAACGCUGGCGGCGUGCUUAACACAUGCAAGUCGAGCGGAAAGGCCCUUCGGGGUACUCGAGCGGCGAACGGGUGAGUAACACGUGGGUAACCUGCCCCAGACUUUGGGAUAACCCUCGGAAACGGGGGCUAAUACCGGAUACGACACAGCUUCGCAUGGGGUCUGUGUGGAAAGUUUUUCGGUUUGGGAUGGGCUCGCGGCCUAUCAGCUUGUUGGUGGGGUGAUGGCCUACCAAGGCGACGACGGGUAGCCGGCCUGAGAGGGCGACCGGCCACACUGGGACUGAGACACGGCCCAGACUCCUACGGGAGGCAGCAGUGGGGAAUAUUGCACAAUGGGCGGAAGCCUGAUGCAGCGACGCCGCGUGAGGGAUGACGGCCUUCGGGUUGUAAACCUCUUUCAGCAGGGACGAAGCGUAAGUGACGGUACCUGCAGAAGAAGCGCCGGCCAACUACGU